rnacentral:rRNA from 1 species
UACGUAGGGGGCUAGCGUUGUUCGGAAUCAUUGGGCGUAAGGCGCGUGUAGGCGGCCAGGUAGGUCCGGUGUGAAAACUCGAGGCUCAACCUCGAGAGGUCAUCGGAAACCAUCUGGCUAGAGUCCGGAAGAGGAGAGUGGAAUUCCCGGUGUAGCGGUGAAAUGCGCAGAUAUCGGGAAGAACACCUAUGGCGAAGGCAGCUCUCUGGGACGGUACUGACGCUGAGACGCGAAAGCGUGGGGAGCGAACAGG